CUCUCGGUUUCUCAGUUGUCCUCCACACGAAGUUGCGGUGCCAGUUCUUCAGAACUGAAAACUAAUUUCUUUAGAACAGUUUCUGUGUGUGUGUUUAGUUUGUUGUCCUUCCCCCCGGCACCUCCCGAUUAGCACGAUUGGUUACGCACGGUGCGAACGAGGUUCAGCGUCCACGCGCACUUCACUCUCCAAACUUUGCUGAAAGCCAUGUCGAGCCUUGCGAACACGGCGCUCUGCAGCAACACCCCGUGGCUGCCGCUGCUUCUGCUGCUGUUGCCUGCAAUUGCUCCAGCGUUUGCUCAAGUUCCCAGCAGUAAGUAUGCAUGCGCCUUGGACAUAUGGUUCGGCGAACAAGAAGUUUUCAAGGCAACGAUUGGCAUCCCUGUGAAUCCAUCAAUCCUUUGUCGUGGAAGUCAAAUCACACAAAUUAUCAAGGAUGUUCAGAUGACAUGCAACCCUGGUGCUGCACAUGGAAACUCACUUAUUAAAAUGGAACAAAAUCCAGAGAGCCUGGACUAUUUAAAAUAUAAAUUGGAUUGUGGCAAACGAUUAGAAGAUUCUGAACUGAAUUAUGCAGAUAUGUUUGUGCUCUCCACAACACCGCUGAUGAGUAAUCCACGCGAUGUGCACUGUGACUACCACUUGCACGUGUGCCACGGUGAAGAAGAAAUGUCGUGGGAUUUUUACGUUGCAUUGUCACGUUUGAAACUACAAUUAUUGUGCAAUGUUAUGUUACAACCAUCCGUGACCAGAUAUUGUGACAAUGAAGAAAAUCCAACCAAGCUAAACAUGACUUACAAGAAUCCAGAUAUGUAUAUUUGCGGAUGGAAUUUGGUGUGCCCAACAGAUGUGGCGGCACCUGAUCCCACCACUUCUAACAAAAAAAACAGCGGUUGCGGCCCUGAAGUGGCAUGCAGUGCUCUUAAGCUCCACCCUGGCUGCAUUACUCCCUUCAUCAUCUUCCUCUACAUUCUAGUCCAGUCGGGUUAGUUGGCUGCAGCAACUCCUGCAUUGCAAGGGAAUGAUGGAACGCACGCACGAGUUGAAAAUGGCACUGGUUUAUACAGCAUUGAAGUAAACACACACACACACCAUAGUUAUGCAGCACACAGGUCACGUAUGCAGUCACCACGUGACCACCACACACAUAUUAGUAUUUUGCUAUCGAAAAUUUGUGUAUUUUUAUACCUCCGUUGUACCGCAGUGUGUCGCAGCGUGAAAGUUGCUUCACGGGCCAAUGCACCAUGAACACCCUACACACUACACCAUGAACACCCUAUACGCUGCACCAUGAACACCCUACACACUGCACCAUGAACACCCUACACACUACACCAUGAACACCCUACACACUGCACCAUGAACACCCUACACACUACACCAUGAACACCCUACACGCUGCACCAUGAACACCCUACACGCUGCACCAUGAUCACCUUGCACCACAAACAGCCUACAACAUGCAGGAACCGGACUGAGAAUCCUGAUACUCGGACUACAACCCCACACACCUAGGCUCUCUGGAGAGACGCAGUCUCGACGUCGUCCUAUCAUUGCAUGCUGCUUCCUCUAUGUAUUCCCGCAUUGGUUCUUCCACUGGCUCUCACGCCGCUUGCUAUAAUCUUGUAGCAAUAGUGCAGCUAGAGUGACAUCGCUAUUGAAUAAAUGCGGGGUUUCAUUGAGACGCAAAACAAUGUUGCGGCACCUGCAUCUUGAAAAUGCCGACUUUGCUUAAACUUCGAAGUAGAUCACCUCUCUCUGCCUCAACGCUUGAGGAGGAAGUCACUGUCACGUGUUGACUACGGUGUACACGUGACGUUAAAAGAUCUCUGCAUUUUCACGAUGACUUCAUAAUUCUUAGGUCUUUUGCUGCCAUGUUAUUUUUUACACUGCAAUGGUUUUGUAACGGACACUGCUGCCGAAUUUUUGGGACCCCAUUGAACCAUCGUAUGUACCUACCACAAUCUCUUUUAUGGCUUUAAUACUAUCUAAAGUUGCCAACCGACACGAAUGCAAAUGUAUAUCCACAUCAUCGGUACCAAAGUUACAUGAAUCCGUCUGAAUUAUAUGCUUGCGACAAUGGAACCUAACUACAGAAACGAAUCCCUAUAAAGCUUAACAUUUUGUAUCUUUUGUUAUUGAAUUAAUUUGAGGGUUGUGUUCACCUAUGCUUAUCACUGAAAUUCGCUUUUGUUUGUAAUAAAAACCAACGUAUCCAAUAUCUUACAGGAGUUGCUUAAAGUCUGUGUGUUGAUGAGUGAGGUCGUCUGAACGACGUUGUCGAUUUACGUGUAAACGUCGAUCUCGUUCCACGCUGCACGAGCCCGACGAUUGUUUAACACGUCCCACGUGACGCGCCAAACAAACGACGCUGUCCACGUCACGUGGGACCACGUGCACACCCACGCGCGGACCACGUGCUCACCCACGCGCGGACCACGUGCUCACCCACGCGCGGACCACGUGCUCACCCACGCGCGGACCACGUGCACACCCACGCGCGGACCACGUGCUCACCCACGCGCGGACCACGUGUAGACACCAGAGGUCGCAACCCGGUUUUGAUUCCUUACCCGUACCAGGCCGCACCAGGAUCGCAAACGGGUACCCGUACCCGGCCGUACCUGUACCCUACCCGUACCCGGCUGGGUACGGGUAGGGUACGGGUAUCGGGUACCUGAUUGCGACCUCUGGGUUGAAGCCAUUUUGCAGGCGCGGGUGGGUUGAUUCUAGGAAUUUGAAUUGUGAGAAGAGACAAGAGGUUGGGAAAUGAGUGACAAACAGUUACUCACCAGUGACUCACGGUUUACCCGUACCCAUACCCGGCCGCACCAGGGUCGCAAACGGGUACCCGUACCCGGCCGGGUACGGGUAGCCGGGUAUCGGGUAGGGUACGGGUAUCGGGUACCCGGUUGCGACCUCUGGUAGA